ACUACGGGGGGCAGCAGUGAGGAAUAUUGGUCAAUGGGCGCAAGCCUGAACCAGCCAAGUCGCGUGAGGGAUGACGGUCCUAUGGAUUGUAAACCUCUUUUGUCGGGGAGCAAGGCCCGCCACGUGUGGCGGGAAGGAGAGUACCCGAAGAAAAAGCAUCGGCUAACUCCGUGCCAGCAGUCGCGGUAAUACGGAGGGUGCAAGCGUUGUCCGGAAUCAUUGGGUGUACAGGGUUCGUAUGCGGCAUGUAAAGUCAGGUGUUAAAGGCGCAGGCUCAACCUGUGUAUGGCACUUGAGAUUUGCAGGCUGGAGUGCGGUAGAGGUAAAGGGAAUUCCUGGUGUAGCGGUGAAAUGCUUAGAUAUCAGGAGGAACAUCGGUGGCGUAAGCGCUUUACUGGGCCGUAAUUGACGCUGAGGAACGAAAGCCAGGGUAGCAAAUGGGAUUAGAUACCCGGGUAGUC
rnacentral:rRNA from 1 species